GACGAACGCUGGCGGCGUGCUUAACACAUGCAAGUCGAACGGUGAAGCCCUUCGGGGUGGGUCAGUGGCGAACGGGUGAGUAACACGUGAGCAACCUGCCCCUGGCUCUGGGACAACCACUGGAAACGGUGGCUAAUACCGGAUACGACCCGCCUCGGCAUCGCGGGUGGGUGGAAAGUUUUUCGGCUGGGGAUGUGCUCGCGGCCUAUCAGCUUGUUGGUGAGGUGAAGGCUCACCAAGGCGACGACGGGUAGCCGGCCUGAGAGGGCGACCGGCCACACUGGGACUGAGACACGGCCCAGACUCCUACGGGAGGCAGCAGUGGGGAAUAUUGCACAAUGGGCGAAAGCCUGAUGCAGCGACGCCGCGUGAGGGAUGACGGCCUUCGGGUUGUAAACCUCUUUCAGCUCCGAAGAAGCGAAAGUGACGGUAGGAGCAGAAGAAGCACCGGCUAACUACGUG
rnacentral:rRNA from 1 species